UGAGGAAUAUUGGUCAAUGGGCGAAAGCCUGAACCAGCCAUGUCGCGUGAAGGAUGAAGGUCCUAUGGAUUGUAAACUUCUUUUGCAGGAGGGUAAAGUGAGCUACGUGUAGUUCAUUGCAAGUACCCUGCGAAUAAGCAUCGGCUAACUCCGUGCCAGCAGCCGCGGUAAUACGGAGGAUGCGAGCGUUAUCCGGAUUUAUUGGGUUUAAAGGGUGCGUAGGCGGACUAAUUAGUCAGCGGUGAAAUUUUGCGGCUCAACCGUAAAACUGCCGUUGAAACUGUUAGUCUUGAGUGCGGUAGAGGUAGGCGGAAUGUGUGGUGUAGCGGUGAAAUGCUUAGAUAUCACACAGAACACCGAUUGCGUAGGCAGCUUACUGGAGCGCAACUGACGCUGAGGC
rnacentral:rRNA from 1 species